rnacentral:rRNA from 1 species
GAUUAACGCUGGCGGCGUGCAUAACACAUGCAAGUCGAACGACGAAACUUAGUAGACUUCUUCGGAAAGACACUAAGCGGAUUAGUGGCGAACGGGUGAUUAACGCGUGAGUAACCGGCCUUACACAAGGGGAUAGCCUUUGGAAACGAAGAAUAAUACCCUAUAAAACCAUAAAAGCACAUGCUAGAAUGGUCAAAGUGAUAGCGGUGUAAGAUGGACUUGCAUCUGAUUAGCUAGUUGGUGAGAUAAAAGCUCACAAAGGCAACGAUCAGUAGCCGGCUUGAGAGAGUGUACGGCACCACUAGGACAGAGACAAGUCCCAGACUCCUGCGGGAGGCAGCAAGGGUGAACUAUGCACAAUGGGGGAGAGACUGAUGCAGCGACGCCGCGAGAUUUAGAAGUCCUUCGGGUUGUAAAAAACUUUUGUAUAGGAAGAAUAUGACAGUACUAUACGAAUAAGGUCCGGCUAAUUACGUG